rnacentral:rRNA from 1 species
UACAGAGGUCCCAAGCGUUGUUCGGAUUCACUGGGUGUAAAGGGUGCGUAGGUGGUGAGGUAAGUCGGAUGUGAAAUCUCCGAGCUCAACUCGGAAACUGCAUUGGAAACUACCUUGCUCGAGGGUUGGAGGGGGGACUGGAAUGCUUGGUGUAGCAGUGAAAUGCGUAGAUAUCAAGCGGAACACCAGUGGCGAAGGCGAGUCCCUGGACAACUCCUGACACUGAUGCACGAAAGCUAGGGGAGCAAACAGG